CCUACGGGUGAGCUGCAGUGAGGAAUAUUGGUCAAUGGGCGGAAGCCUGAACCAGCCAAGUAGCGUGCAGGAUGACGACCCUACGGGUUUUAAACUGCUUUUAUACGGGAAUAACGCGCCUUACGUGUAGGGCUUUACAUGUACCGUAUGAAUAAGGACCGGCUAAUUCCGUGCCAGCAGCCGCGGUAAUACGGAAGGUCCGGGCGUUAUCCGGAUUUAUGGGGUUUAAAGGUAGCGUAGGCCGCAUGUCAAGCGUGCUGUGAAAUGUCCGGGCUCAACCCGGGCCUUGCAGCGCGAACUGGCGUGCUUGAGUCCGCGGAAAGCAGGCGGAAGUCGUGGUGUAGCGGUGAAAUGCUUAGAUAUGACGAAGAACCCCGAUUGCGAAGGCAGCUUGCUGCAGCGGAACUGACGCUGAUGCUCGAAAGCGCGGGUAUCGAACAGGAUUAGAUACCCCUGUAGUC
rnacentral:rRNA from 1 species